rnacentral:rRNA from 1 species
GUUGACCUCGGAUCAGGUAGGAAUACCCGCUGAACUUAAGCAUAUCAAUAAGCGGAGGAAAAGAAACCAACAGGGAUUGCCUCAGUAACGGCGAGUGAAGCGGCAACAGCUCAAAUUUGAAAUCUGGCCUCUUGGGGGUCCGAGUUGUAAUUUGUAGAGGAUGUUUCGGGUACCGCCUCGGUUUAAAUUUCUUGGAACAGAAUGUCAGAGAGGGUGAGAAUCCCGUCUUGGACCGGCGGUAGGGCCCAUGUGAAACUCCUUCGACGAGUCGAGUUGUUUGGGAAUGCAGCUCAAAAUGGGUGGUAAAUUUCAUCUAAAGCUAAAUAUUGGCCAGAGACCGAUAGCGCACAAGUAGAGUGAUCGAAAGAUGAAAAGAACUUUGAAAAGAGAGUUAAACAGUAUGUGAAAUUGUUGAAAGGGAAGCGCUUGCAACCAGACUUGAGCGCGGCGGU